rnacentral:lncRNA from 1 species
AGAAGGCAUAAAGUGGCAGCAUUCGUUCGAUCAACAUAUAUUGAGAUAUAUUAAACUGUGCAUGCAUGCAUGGCUGUCAACCAAAGAAGCCAAAUAUAUAUGUGAUUCUCCGAGACCUGUAUUAGUUUGCAGCAAUUAAAUUACGCUAAUCUUCUCACAGAAGCUAAUCAAGAAACAUAGGUAAUUAGUUGCUAUGAGAAAGCUCAGGACACGUACAGUACUUUCCGUAGCAGUAGCCGCCGAAAAGGAUACUCCAAUAUGAGAUCGAUCCUCCCAACUAGCUAUAUUUCUACUGGUAAAACUAAAAAGUGUGGUCGUAUAAUUUUCUCCAGGCAAAUACAUGGAAGAUUCUGAACCAUUUAACAGCAACCAACCGGGGGCUUGAACUGGCUGUUGC